rnacentral:rRNA from 1 species
UACGUAGGAGACGAGCGUUGUCCGGAAUCACUGGGCGUAAAGCGCGUGUAGGCGGAUCGGCAAGUCUGCUGUGAAAGCUCCUGGCUUAACCGGGAGUGGUCGGUGGAAACUGCCAGUCUGGAGGACGGUAGAGGUAGGUAGAAUUCCCGGUGUAGUGGUGAAAUGCGUAGAGAUCGGGAGGAAUACCUGUGGCGAAGGCGGCCUACUGGGCCGGACCUGACGCUGAGACGCGGAAGGCGUGGGGAGCGAACGGG